UUUAAGAAUGAAAUUACAAGUGUUUAAUGUUUAUCAAUUUUUACUAAAAAGAUCCCUUAUCUAGUGGAAAUAGAUUUCCUGGUAAUAUAUAUUAUAAUAAUAAUAUGUCUAUCGACUAUAUGAUCAAUAAAGUAGAAGUUAUAAUAGUAUUAGUAUGUUUGUCAUUGGUUUUCAAAUCUAUCUUAUUUAUAUUAUGUACUUAUGCAUAAAAUAUUUGUGCCGAGAUCUCUACGUUAUGAUGUAUACAUAUGUGACCGCCAGCUUCAAGUAAAUAAUACAUUUAUUAAAGUCUACGAAAUAUAAUCUAUGCUUUCUACGUUUAUAGUAACCGGUACUGUAUCAAGGUUUUUUUUGUUCUGAACUACGAUAGUAAACCGAUAUUCCACGACGGAGAUUUGUCUUUUAAAUUGUUUGACGUUAAAUCCGCGUAGUACCUACUCGAACUGCAGAUUAUCAUCGAUAACAUAGAUUAUAAUUUAUGUGCCAAUGUGCCAUCUUUACCACAUCUCAUCUCACAACGCCAAUGGUGACUGUUAAAAUAUUUACGUAAUAUAUAUAAUAAUAUACCUGUAUCAUCGUCCAUCGCGUUGUGUUUUUACACUUUUUUCGCGCUCCCGAUCAUACAUCGGAUUUCAAUAUUAGUAUCGCUAUUAUCAUACAAUAUAUAUUAUAAUAUAUGAUCGCGAGUAGAAAUGACUUGAAAUCGUGUGCAUGUAUAUACAACUAUAUAUGUAGCAUACAUAAUAUAUUAUAAAUACGACGCGAGACUCGCGUGAUUAAAAUCCUAAACGUAAAAAAAAACAACUGCUGCGAGUUUUCCUAUAGUCUAUAGUAGUAUAAUAAUAUAAUUAAUAUAAGCAUCAUGAAUUCUAUAACUAUACAGUUUAUUAUGAAUUAUGAUGUAAUUGAAAAAUAAAAAUAAAUACAUUUUUCUGUACAAAUUUUAUCACGGAAUUAUUUGUAUUAUAUAGUGUUUUUAGUUUAAUUAUUCGUAAACAAAAAUCGUUAAGAACUUAAUGCUUUUCUUCGCCAUUAUAACUAUUUAACUACAUCUACGUACUUACUUCUAUACCUUGUACAACUUAUUUGAGAUCGUUACACAUAUUUUUAUACUUAUAGAAUAAAAGUGAGAGAGAGGGUACACUAACUAUAGCAAAACGUUUUGGUUAAUUUUUUAAUUAAAUAAAUAAGUUUACUGUAAUUAUAAAAAAAAAAAAAUUGUAACGAUUUCAAUUUUUUCAGUUAAUUUCAAAAAUAAAACUUGCUUUAUGGGUUUCUUCAAUAAUAUUGUGGUUAAAAAUUAAAAACAAAAAUAUAUUAAUAUUUAGCGUUGUAAUGCAGAACGUAUCUUCCAGCUACACAAUGAUAUUAAAUAAAAAUAAAUUAAUAAAUGGACCUUAAUUUUAUGAUUCAUUAGACAAAAAUAUAUAGAAUGUCUUACCAUAAAAUUGUAUAUUAUUAUUUAAAAACAAAUUAAAUUUGAGUAUAUAGCUAGUUGUACCAGGUUGAAUUGACUUAACUAACUCAAGCAAAUUUUGUACAUUUAAUUGUCCAACUUUGUUAUUACCAGGUGACUUAAUAUUUUCGUUUUUCGUACAAAAAUAGCACCGCUGUUUUUUUUUUUUUUCUGUUACUUUUGGUGCCAAUAGUAAGUUAAACGUAUAUGACAAUAUUUUACAAAAAUAUGCACUCCAAUAAAAAAGUGGGUCAGUAAUUUUGAGUGUCAGAUCCUUCGUUAGCGGUUAUUUUCGUUACGAUAUUCGAGACGCACCGUAAAAUUAUACAUACUCCACGACAGCUGAACGUUUUCAGAACUACGUUUAUUUUAUGAUAGUAAGUAUAUAGGUGGCCUAUUCAUUUUUCAUCUCAUGAAAUUAUUGAAUUAGAUUUUUGCUCGCGUUUUGUGUCGCGCAUCCAAAAUGUUAUUUCUUUUUGCUAUAGUAAACGUCUGUAUAUAUAUUUAAGAACAAGCUAGGCGUUGAACAACACAAUAACACAUUUCACACACAAUAAAUUGUCGUAAUGAACAGUUUUUUCCUAUUUUUCCCUAUAACUUCACGUUGUACGAUAUUUUACGUCAGAUAAAAAAACAUAUUUUUGUACUUCAAACAAUACUAUA